rnacentral:rRNA from 1 species
UACGUAGGGUGCGAGCGUUAAUCGGAAUUACUGGGCGUAAAGCGUGCGCAGGCGGUUCGUUGUGUCUGAUGUGAAAGCCCCGGGCUCAACCUGGGAAUGGCAUUGGAAACUGGCGAGCUAGAGUGUGGCAGAGGGGGGUGGAAUUCCGCGUGUAGCAGUGAAAUGUGUAGAUAUUCGGAAGAACACCAGUGGCGAAGGCAGCAGAUUGGGCCGGUAUUGACGCUCAGGCACGAAAGCAUGGGGAUCAAACAGG